GACCAAAGGGGGCGAGCGUAAGCAGCUCUCACCGAAGGAGGAGCCUGCGUCCGAUUAGCUAGUUGGUGGGGUAAUGGCCUACCAAGGCGACGAUCGGUAGCCGGCCUGAGAGGGCGAUCGGCCACACUGGAACUGAGACACGGUCCAGACUCCUACGGGAGGCAGCAGUGGGGAAUAUUGCGCAAUGGGCGAAAGCCUGACGCAGCGACGCCGCGUGGGUGAUGAAGGCCUUCGGGUCGUAAAGCCCUGUCUGGUGGAACGAAACGCCCGGCGGCCAAUACCCGCUGGGUUUGACGGUACCACCGAAGGAAGCCCCGGCUAACUACGUGCCAGCAGCCGCGGUAAGACGUAGGGGGCGAGCGUUGUUCGGAUUUACUGGGCGUAAAGCGCGCGUAGGCGGCCAGAUAAGUCGGGUGUGAAAGCCCUCGGCUCAACCGAGGUUCCGCAUCCGAUACUGCUUGGCUGGAGUCUAGGAGAGGAGAGCGGAAUUCCCAGUGUAGCGGUGAAAUGCGUAGAUAUUGGGAGGAACACCCGUGGCGAAGGCGGCUCUCUGGACUAGUACUGACGCUGAGGCGCGAAAGCUAGGGGAGCGAACGGGAUUAGAUACCCCGGUAGUCCUAGCCGUAAACGAUGGGCACUAGGUGUGGGAGGUAUUGACCCCUUCCGCGCCGAAGCUAACGCAUUAAGUGCCCCGCCUGGGGAGUACGGCCGCAAGGCUAAAACUCAAAGGAAUUGACGGGGGCCCGCACAAGCGGUGGAGCAUGUGGUUCAAUUCGACGCAACGCGAAGAACCUUACCAGGGCUUGACAUCCCACGAACCUGCCUGAAAGGGCGGGGUGCCCGCAAGGGAGCGUGGAGA
rnacentral:rRNA from 1 species